UUUCCGUAGGUGAACCUGCGGAAGGAUCGUUAAAAAUAAUCACGUUUUAUCGCGUUUUAAUAAUCAUCCUACCUUGUGAAUUUGUGUUUUGUUUUGAAACUUAUGUUGUCUAUCCUGGAUUUGGAGAAGUUUUUUUCGUAAAAACUUUUCAUUUCAGGGAGUAGGCUUCAUAGACCUUUUUUAUAUUAACUUUUGUAUUCAUUGUCUAAAAUUUAUUUUUAUAAUUUAAAACAACUUUUGACAAUGGAUCUCUUGGUUCUCGCAACGAUGAAGAACGCAGCAAAAUGCGAUAAGUAAUGUGAAUUGCAGAAUACGUGAAUCAUCAAAUCUUCGAACGCAUAUUGCACUUUUUUAGUUACUAAAAAAGUAUGUCUGUUUGAGUAUCAGUAAAUAUUCUCAUAAAAACAUUUUUUGUUUUUAUGGUUAUGAGUGUUUACAACGAUAAACAAGUUGUUUCACUUUAAAUUGAUUUUUUUUAAAGCCAAUUUUUUAGGUUUUAUAAUAAAUUGGAUAAAAUAUCCGUAAAAAGGAAUAAACUUUUCAGUUUUAGAAUAAACCAAAUAUUGGUUAUCAAAAAAAAAGGAAAUUAAAUAAUUAUAUAAACUAACUUGAUCUCAAAUCAGAUAAGAGUACCCGCUGAACUUAAGCAUAUCAAUAGCGGAGGAAAAGAAACUAACAAGGAUUCCUUAGUAACGCGGAUGAAGCGGGAGAGCUCAAAUUUGAAAUCUUCAAGGUUCUACCUUGACGAAUUGUAGUUUAAAGAAGUUUUCUGCUAGUGGAGUGGCAAAAGUUCUUUGGAAUAGGACAUCAUAGAGGGUGAGAAUCCCGUAUUGGUCAUUCUUCUAGCUUUGUAUACACUUCAAAGAGUCGGAUUGUUUGGGAAUGCAGUCCAAAAUGGGUGGUAAAUUUCAUCUAAAGCUAAAUAUUGGCGAGAGACCGAUAGCGAACAAGUACCGUGAGGGAAAGAUGAAAAGAACUUUGAAAAGAGAGUUAAACAGUACGUGAAAUUGUCAAAAGGGAAGCGUUUGACACCAGUGUUGUUUUUCCGAAAAUCAAUUAUGAAUGUUUUUGUUUCUGAGAGUUAUGACUUCAUCGGCUUGCUCCUUUCUUACGAACUUCGUAUGCACUUUCGGUUACAGUCAACAUCAAUUCUUUUGUUGUAAAGGUAUGAGGAAGGUGGCUUUCUUUUCGGAGAAAGUGUUUAUAGCCUUGUACCUCUGCAAUCGGAGAGAUUGAGGUCUGCAGCGUAGAUCCUUCGGGCUAGAUACACUUGUGCUAAGUUAUAGCUUUUCAUAGACAACUUGUUGACUAUGUUUAGUCAUGUAGCUUACCCGCUUGUGCUAUUU
rnacentral:misc_RNA from 1 species